GGGCGUGUGGUGUAGUGGAAUCACUCAUGCUUUGCAAGUCCCUACGGGAGGUUACCUCGCUCGUAAUCUUGAAUAUAUGCGGUCCAGGGUUCAAACCCCUGCGGGUCCA